CAGCGCCACGGUAAUACGAAGGGUGCAAGCGUUGCUCGGAAUUACUGGGCGUAAAGCGUGCGUAGGUGGUGGUUUAAGUCCGUUGUGAAAGCCCUGGGCUCAACCUGGGAAUUGCAGUGGAUACUGGGUCACUAGAGUGUGGUAGAGGAUAGUGGAAUUUCCGGUGUAGCAGUGAAAUGCGUAGAGAUCGGAAGGAACAUCUGUGGCGAAGGCGACUAUCUGGGCCAACACUGACACUGAGGCACGAAAGCGUGGGGAGCAAACAGGAUUAGAGACCCCCGUAGUCCCUGUCUCUUAUACA
rnacentral:rRNA from 1 species